rnacentral:rRNA from 1 species
AUUGAACGCUGGCGGCAUGCCUUACACAUGCAAGUCGAACGGUAACAGGUUAAGCUGACGAGUGGCGAACGGGUGAGUAAUGUAUCGGAACGUGCCCAGUCGUGGGGGAUAACUGCUCGAAAGAGCAACUAAUACCGCAUACGACCUGAGGGUGAAAGCGGGGGAUCGCAAGACCUCGCGCGAUUGGAGCGGCCGAAAUCAGAUUAGGUAGUUGGUGAGGUAAAGGCUCACCAAGCCGACGAUCUGUAGCUGGUCUGAGAGGACGACCAGCCACACUGGGACUGAGACGCGGCCCAGACGCCUACGGGAGGCAGCAGUGGGGAAUUUUGGACAAUGGGCGCAAGCCUGAUCCAGCCAUGCCGCGUGCGGGAAGAAGGCCUUCGGGUUGUAAACCGCUUUUGUCAGGGAAGAAAAGGUUCUGGCUAAUACCUGGGACUCAUGACGGUACCUGAAGAAUAAGCACCGGCUAACUACGUGCCAGCCGCCGCGGUAAGAC